UACGAAGGGGGCUAGCGUUGUUCGGAAUUACUGGGCGUAAAGCGCACGUCGGCGGAUUUGUAAGUCAGGGGUGAAAUCCCGGGGCUCAACCUCGGAACUGCCUUUGAUACUGCAAGUCUCGAGUCCGAUAGAGGUGAGUGGAAUUCCUAGUGUAGAGGUGAAAUUCGUAGAUAUUAGGAAGAACACCAGUGGCGAAGGCGGCUCACUGGAUCGGUACUGACGCUGAGGUGCGAAAGCGUGGGGAGCAAACAGG
rnacentral:rRNA from 1 species